ACCAAGCCAGAGUCCUGGGGUCCUGGAACAGUAAGCCUUCUAGCAGAGAAUUCAGGGGCGGAUAAAGGGAGGUUCCUGCUACCUCAGAGGGCCAGGGUAUGAGAAGAGGUCAUUUCUGCGCGGCAGCCUGGCUCAUUGUUUUAUUCCAGGGGGCUUUGCUUGCCUCUCACAUUCAAGCAAAGCACAGAUCCCAAAAGAGGGAAGGGAAAGGGAGAAGAGAGGGGAGGGGAGAGGAAGGCAAAGGAGAGGACUGGAGAGGAGAGGGAUUAAAAGAUAAAAUAUGGCCUUGUUUACCCAUCCCAGUAUUAAACUCCCACCCUUCUGGGGGAUUCCAUGAAUGAAAACACAACACCUGCUGGGCUAGUGGCUGUGAAAGAGGAGAAGGGGUGAUGGAAAUGCAGCACAUAGGGAGCAGAUCUAUUCUUAGUCCCACGAACUUCCUCCGGGCCCCCAAAGGCCUUGCCCCAUUCUGAUGUCUGCUUCCUUGAUUUCAAUGUUUUUUCUCUUCCAGACCAUCCUCCCAGCUGCCAUGCUCAAGCUUUUGAAAUGCAUAAUUUGUUUUAAUUACAAAAUAAAAUAAUUUCUACCUCCCCUAGAGGGUUCUCCCUGGCCCUAAAUUUCCUAUCAAUUCCUUCUCCCUCUGCAUCCACAUCAUAGUCAUCAAACCCUUCUUUAAACUUAUCUCAUUCUGUCUUUAGAGUUCCUGAACAUUUUCCACACUGGGCUGCGGGCUCCUUGAGGGCAGGGACUCCGUGAACACAUUUUCCUUCCCAACAGACCUUAGUUCAGUAGCUUGGCACACCAAGGCUGCCCAGUCAACAUUGGACUGACUGAAUGUGUUUGCCAAAUGAAUCUGGCUAUUUGCCGGCUCUGCAACUUUCAACUCCUUGUCCAACACCCUCUAUCAAAACAGGUGGGUGUAUUUUGAAGUAGAAAUUGGAGACAUUAAAAUAAGCAGAUUUUUUAAAAAAUACAUCACUCUUUUUUUGUCAUUUAAGCAUUACCCUCAAUUGAGGAAAAAAAGAGUACUUUCCCUGUUAAAGCUUGUUUUGUCUCCCAGCAUCAUAAAGCUAGAGGGGAAGUCUUGUUACUGAUACAGGUGCUCCCAGGCUCACCAAAUCCAAGGCCAGCCUGCCCCUCCUACAGUUUGGAGUGACUGGAGGCUGCAGCGAGGAAGGGUCCUGGCCUCUCCCGCCAAUCCCAGGGCUCUCUGGAGAGGGUGCUGCCCACGAUAAAAGCCCCGACUUUGAGUCUGCAUGGCACAGGAUGGCUUCUUCCAUGAAGGGAUUCCUCUCUUGGAAGCCUCAUUGUCCUUUCCUGAAUUUGAGCAUCUGUCUGGCCUUCCCAGUCCACCAAUGGUCUUUAAACAAGUGAGCCUCAUCUGGAAAGACAGUUUAAAUUCCACCAGCCCAACCCAGGCUCCUCAGCCUCCUUAUAAAUCAGUGGAUGCAUGGAUGCAAGUCACAUCCUGUCAUGAUCAAGACAUUAAUGGAUAUGACAAAGAUCCCAGAUGAAAAGCAACUUCUGAACCACACCACUGGCAUCCUGAUUAAAGCAAACAUAAGCAAGCCGAACCCAGCAAGACAUCUGGAACCAUCCCUAAGAGUGACCAUCCACUAGACAGGACCCAACCCUGCCAUGAGUGGAAUCAACUUCCUGUCUCAUGAGACUGCAGAUUUCAAAUCCUGUGCCUCUCCAUGGCUUCCUGAGCUCCUAACCACACUCUGACAGGCAUGGCAUCUAUGCAAAAAGGGAAAUGAGUGAGGCCAGUUGAAGAAUUAUAUAAUCCUCCAUUUUAAAAAUAGGACUGGGUAUUUUUGGAAAGAACUAGCUGGGUGAGUUAUUUAACAGCCUUUCUGGCUAGCCUGUGGAAACUCAGAAAAUGGCAUUCUCUCAGGGUCUCUAGAAAGAUGUGUUACCUGGUACAGCCAAAGAAGACUGAAGAUGCCCAGGCUGGGCUGAACCUGGGACAAUGCAGAGAUAACCUGGUCCUUUGUAAGCUGUGGACUGGCCCUGUAAUGCACGCUGGGAAGAGAGGAGUUUGGAAGCCACUCCCCAGGAUGGAUCUCUGUAGGCAAAUCCUUUCAACAGCUACUGUGAAGCCCUCUGAGCGAUGCGAUUGAUUAAGGUUGACAAAAGCCUGGCAAUGGCUUCCACUCCCCACUUCUUGUUCCCAUGUUAGACAUUAUUAAUCAAUUACAACUCUUUCUCUACAAGCCCCAGAACCAAUCCUUUACACAAAUCUCCCAGAAGCCACCAACAAUCAGUGGGAGUUGGCACGAGGUGAGACUUCUCCAGUCUGUCUGCAGUAGCUAGUAAGUGGUGCACUGGCUUCAGUUUGGACCACUGCUACAUCGUGGAGUUGACCUGUUGAAAUUGAUGAGCUAUUCUGACAUCAGUAAUGCUCCCUGCAGCUUAGAGUUCAGGACUUCCGUUGUGAUACAAAUACAGCUGCUUGGAGAAUGAAAAUAUUCAUAUAUUUUUGGAGCUAAUUCUAAGUACUUUCAAGUCUGUGCCAAAAUUAAAACUGUUCAGAAAUACUCUGAUUCUCUUCUCCUUUGGGCCCAUGAUAAGUUUGCACUUCUCCUGCCCCUUUUCAAGUGAGACUAUGGCCAUGUGACUUGGUUUGGCCGAUGAUACAUGAGUAGAAGUGACAUAUGUCACACAAGUGAAGUCUUAAGAGCCAGUGUAUGAUCCACCAUGCUCCCUCUCCUCUGCCCUGGUGAUGGUAGAAGCAUAUAUGGAGGUGCAGCUUCCCCAGCAAGGGGUCUUGCAUGACUGUGAGAGACAGUAUCUCCUUGCUAACACACAUUGGACAUGAACAUGAGUGAGAAAUACAUAUUUUUUUGUAGUAAGCUGCUGAAAUUUGGGGAUUGUUUGUUCCUGCAGCAUUGCUUUACUUAUCCUGACUUUUACAAACACUUUCAGCUAGUCAUUCCAUCGGAUCCUCUCAACAACCACGUAAAAUAGGAAAAAUGCUAUUAUCUACAUCAUACAAAUAAGAUGACGAAUGCCCAGAGAGGUUAAAUAAUUAAGAAACACUGAAACCUUUUACAUUAACUGACCAACACCUAUUGCCAAAAUGGAAAUGUAUAUGCUCUGAUCAUAUAAUUUUUACAAGAAGUGGUGCAUUUAAGCAAGUCAUAGAUCUCACUGAAAAAUUAAAUAUUGUCUGAAAAUUGACCCAGAAGCACCAAACACAAUCAUCCAAGAAUAAAG
rnacentral:lncRNA from 10 species